CGCCCCGCCUGGGGAGUACGGCCGCAAGGCUAUAACUCAAAGGAAUUGACGGGGGCGCGCACAAGCAGCGGAGCAUGUUGUUUAAUUCGAAGCGACGCGAAGAACCUUACCAAGGCUUGACAUGCGCGCGCAAAGCUGGGAAACCAGCUCCUCCUUCGGGACGCGUGCACAGGUGGUGCAUGGCUGUCGUCAGCUCGUGUCGUGAGAUGUUGGGUUAAGUCCCGCUACGAGCGCAACCCCUGUUCUGUGUUGCCAGCGGUUCGGCCGGGGACUCACAGGAGACUGCCGGUGACAAACCGGAGGAAGGUGGGGAUGACGUCAAGUCAUCAUGCCCCUUACGUCUUGGGCUACAAACGUGCUACAAUGGCCGGUACAAAGGGCUGCAUGCCGCGAGGUGGAGCGAAUCCCAGAAAGCCGGU
rnacentral:rRNA from 1 species